rnacentral:SRP_RNA from 2 species
GCUGGGUGCGGUGAGGCGCGCCUGUAAUCCCAGCUACUUGGGAGGCUGAGACAGAAGAAUCGCUUGAACCCAGGAGGCAGAGGUUGCAGUGAGCUAUCGCACCACUGCACUCCAGCCUGGGCAACACAGCAAGACUCAGUCUCAA